rnacentral:rRNA from 1 species
GGUUAAGUUAAUAAGGGGCGCACCGGUGGAUGCC